GUGGGUGCCACCCACCUGAGUGGUAGUUGGAGAGGGUGGUAGGGAAGGAGGCAGAGGUUCUUUUGGAGCAAAGGGAGCCUAUAGUGAGAGAAUGAACAGACCUAGGGGUAUGGGUUAGGGACCCACCAAGAGGCCUGGGAUAAAUGCGGGUUGGGUGUCAAGGGAGACAGGGAAUAGAGAUAUUCUAGGUGGUAGGGAAGGUGGGGGUUCCAAGACUUACCAGGAUGCUGGGCUUUUCACCUGUGGGACACCUCCAGGAGGGCAGCUGUGACCAAUGAAAAGGCAAUGGUGGUGAGAACACAGUGGAGGAAAUGAAGAAACUGAGGCCCAGACAAAGGGAGUGGUUUGCCCAGAACUACCUGGAUUUCUCUCAUCCUUGCUGUGAUCUCGGCAACCCUGGAUCCUUCAGCUGUCCUGACCCUCCCCACACUCCAGCUGCCUCGGCUUCCCUAUCUUAGCCAUCAGCAGCUCUGCGGGUCUUGAAUGUUUCUCAUGUGUCAAGGGAAAGCAACGCAUGAGAACAACAGAGAUGGAACUUAAGCUUCUGGCAAAUGUACUGAAAAAGGGGCAGUUAACGCUCUCCACUUCCUCACCGUCUGCUGCUCGACAAGCACGCUGCAGCCAGCUUCCUUCCUACCGCUGGCUGAAACAGCCGUUGCCAAGAUGGUCAACCACCUCUUUCAGAAGCAAGUCUCCAGCAGCCCUAAGACUGAUCAACUCACCUACCUGCUGUCGCGAAUCCGUCAUUUCACUGCGGGCCUUGGUCAUCGGCUAAAGCCAGCUUUAAUAGAGUAAUAAAAAUAAAGCACCCAUAUGAUACAGAGGACAGACAGCACCCGA